rnacentral:rRNA from 1 species
UGGGGAAUAUUGCACAAUGGGGGAAACCCGUGAUGCAGCGACGCCGCGUGAAGGAUGAAGUAUUUCGGUAUGUAAACUUCUAUCAGCAGGGAAGAAAAUGACGGUACCUGACUAAGAAGCCCCGGCUAACUACGUGCC